UGACCAUUGACUAUUAGCUGCCUCAGACUUCCGGGGUGGCACCAUCGGUAAUGGCGGAUUCCCUCUGAUCCGGAGGGACUGGCUCCACAGGAAACGGGUCUGUUCCGCUACGGUGAAGCGGGGACCCUCUAAAAAAUCACAGGCGGAUGAAGCCUGUGACCAUGGGACUUGGCGGGCACCUUUUGCGCCCCCCCCAAUUCGUAAAGGAACCCAAUUACGGGCUCCGGAGCGAAGAGGGGUUAGUGGCGCGGUGCUGAGAGUCAACUGCUUCUUCCGUGGAGUGAAGCCACACAGCCGUUGCCGGAGAGCGCUACCUUUUUCUUGGGACAAUUUGGCUACAAAACAACUACCCGUGAGCAGAUCAAAUCUGGACAAUUGGACUUUAAACAACGAUCUGUGAGUAGAACGGAAAAUUGGAUUAAGAAAUUCCUCUUAAUUUGGCACUGAAGCGGGAAGGUCUAAACAGGAAGUCAGCCUUCCGUUUCUUGUAGAUAGAAUAAAGCAAAGACAUGGCAAACUAGAGUGUAGAAAAUCGUUUGUAAAGGAUCAACUUCCAUCAUCUAAAAUUACUGAACCCCCUUCGGAAGCAGGAGAAGAGGGGGGAUUUUUUCUGGAUUGCUUAAACCUGCAGAAGAGAGUGUAAGAAAAGUAAUUUUCCACCGUCUUGAACCUGGGAGCGGGGUGUCAGGACAGACGUUUUUGGGAAAGUUCAUUGACUAUAGACAAAUGUUUUUGACAGACAGUUAAAAGAAGAGAAACAUAGUGAUUCCAUUGUGCUCUUUCGCAAUUUAAAGGAACAAAUAUUGACAAAAUAUCUGAAAAAGGAAACUUUGUUGUUAGUUCUGCUGUUAAAAAAAAAAGAAAAAGAAAAGAGUUGGAUACAAAUAGAAGUUCUUCCCCUAGAGGGAGCUUGUGAAACUGUUACUAAACUUGAACUGGGGAGCAGCUGCAACAGAUUAAGAUCGUGGGAAUAGACUUCUGACCUUGUAUAACAAUGUGCUCAGAGGCUCUGGUGCGUGCUUUCUGUAAAACAAGUGCUUUAUUGGAACAGUUACAUGAGAAGACGGAUUUGAUGACUGUUGCGAUCAGAAAUUUUGGACAGGUAGUGGGUAUCUAUAUAGAACCCACUCAGGAAUCAAAUCAGGAAUGUGCUCUGACAGAUCAGAUGAAGGAGGAGGUUGUGGCUGGACCCCGAGAGGCAGAGAUGCAGGGAACCGUGGCCCAGCACGAACAUGAGUGGUUGGACCUGACGAAUGAACCUGGAAAAAGCCAGAUUUGGAGAGAUAGAGUCUUGUUUGGUUUGGAGAUGGGGGGCUGGAUAGACCCCCCUAUGCAGGGAUGUUUUGACUUUUCAAGUCUGGCGUUGGGUCGGGAGGAGUCUGGAGUUGUGGGGGUCCUCAAUUUUGGAGGGACCUUGAAAAAUGUCUUUAAAUACCACAUGGAGUUCAGUGUGGACUAUGGAAAAGGGGCUGAUCUGUCGAGAAGGGAUAAAAAUACUGUCAAGCUGGAGUCUCCACGAGUGAAAGGAGCAGGAGACAAAGUAAAGUACAGGUAUAAAUAUGAAGAAGAUCUGCGGAAGGGACAUGGAAGAGACUUAAGGGCCUCGGACAUAAGGUUACCAGGUUAAUGAACUAGAUGGAUGGGAUAGAAAGGACUGACAAAACCCGUGACCAGGAGGAAGAGACGUUGGAUGAAGAUUGGAGAAAGUUUCAAAAAUUCUAUUUAGGAAUGUUUUUUAAAAUUAAUGAGUAUUAAAAAAGAUGUUGAAAUGAAAUUAUUUGGCUUUAGCAGAAAUGUUAAAAAGAACUAUGCAAGAAUAUGUCAUGGUUAUGAGAAAUUGGUAUAGAUAAGACUCAAGCUUUAAGUUUUAGGGUUUUUUAUAGUAAGAUAAGGUUAAAAUAGAUUAAGGUAAUUUAAUGACAGAAUAUUAUGAAAAAAUGGGAAGGAUUUGCUGUGAUAAUCAAUAACUAGAAUAUAAAAAAGGGAGGGGUGAGGAGGUCGAUGAAAUAAGGUAAUGACAGUUAAGGAUUUGGGAAUAUUGGAUCUGUUUUUAAACUUUUGUGGUUUAUUUUUGUUUUUUGAUUUUGAUGUGUUAUGUGUUUUGUUUUUUGUUUUUUGCUUUUAAUUUUUAUUGACUUGUAUUGUUUGAUUGUGGUUUGUUUUUUCCUUGCUUAUUUCUUUUCCCCCCCUUUCUUUUUGACUUUUCUGUAAUCUUAAAAUUCUUAAUAAAUAUCAUUAAAAAAAAAAAAAGACUAUUAGCUGCCUCAGGUGAUGGAAAGUGUAGUACAACAGCAUCUGAAGGUCCACCAGUUCCCCGUUCCUAUCAUAAAACACAUUGGUGUCCAUGUGUUUCCUGCCUGCUUAUAAUUGACAAGUCUGUUUAUCUGCUAAGGUGACAGUCCACACUCUGGUGUACCAAAGUGUCACUUUCUGUCCUGCUGCCACCCUGCCCGUCUCUCUGUCACUGUGUGUUUAUGAAGCCUUGAAGCAAUAAUUGCAAUGCUUAUAAUAUAAAGCUGCACUCAGUGUGAACAAUACAGGAGUUAAGGGGACCGUUAGUAACUUUCAUCUGAUAAACUGAAGACAUUGUUUAUAUGAAUGUGAAUCCAAAUAUCACAAAAUAUGUAUUUAUUUAUUUAAAAAAACAAGCAUCUAUAUGAAUUCUUCGCAUGGUUGCCAAGAAAUGAUUUGGCUUUGUACAUUGGGUUCUGGUGCUCUGCAUUGCUUGAAAUGUGUUUUGUUUUUGAGUCAGUGAUUCACGCAAGGGGAACAAAGGGAAGCCACAUUUUGCCCUGUAUAAUUACAAGCAGCCAAACAGGUCAAUAGGAUGUGCUAAUUCUUUCCCGGAGGCAAGCAACACAUUGUCUUGGUAUUGCAUCAGCACAGGCACAGCCUUCUGUCCUUUCCUUGAUACGAAUGAACUUCACAAAGAGUUACAGUGCAUCUCCACAGUGCGACAAAAUGCAAAUGAGUUGAGCUUUGCAUUUGUUCAAAUGCUGCGUUUUCAGCAAAUGCCUGCCCUUUAUGCUUUACUGAUUUUCAGCUAGGACCUCUAACAAUAGAAUAGCUCAACCACUUUCAAUUAGCUGCAUGUCAACACAUGAAGAUACUUUCACCCAUACAAGGGAUUCCUCCGCUGCUGAGAAGGAAGAUUUGAAGAGACAUCUCUGGUUGAAUGCCUUCACAAUCCUCUCUUUUAUGCAUGUUGUUUCCAGUCAUGAAAAGGACUGAAAGCACAUUUCCCUGAAUGUGCUUACAACUUCCCAUCAGACUCUCUGCUCUGUGCCCCUAUGCUUCUUCCUAUAGACUGUAUCUAAGAAUGCCCAAAGAGGGCUAAAAUGAGCCCAGAGAAUGGAGACUUCAGGCCAUAACUUCAAGUAGUUAAAAAAUAAGUGACACAAAUGUGGGAUUAAUAUUGCCAUUGGCAAGGGAACAGAUAGUGAACAUGCAUAUGUACCUGUGUACACAGAUGCCUUACCCAUGUAAGGAUAUGCCUUGCUGGAAUAGGAAACUUGUGUUUCUCUGUAUUUCUUGCACUCUGUGCAAAUCCACAAGGAUAAUGCUAUAAAUCAACAUUGCCUGUAGAGUUGCUUUGGAUAGCAUUAGGGUCAAUGUCAUCCUGUCCAGAAUCUAUUUGUUGCAAUGAUAGCUUACAUACAUCUUAUCGCCUCUCUCCUUUCGUAGGUGUUGUCUCACAAAUUAGAUCUGCAAGGCUAUUUAUGGAGAGCACAAUAACCAAGGAAGAAGAAUUCAUAAGAACAAGGAGAGUUCAACACAGAAAAAAAGAAAGAGGAGGCAACUGUUCAGGAAAAUGUGGAACCCAACUACAAUAUAUAGAAUGAACCAUCUGAUAUCACAGAUGUUUCCUCCAAAAAAUAAUGGUGUCAUUGAUUCCAACAGGAUUACCGGGACCCAUCAGAUAAAGGCAAAGUGGU